rnacentral:rRNA from 1 species
AACGAACGCUGGCGGCAGGCUUAACACAUGCAAGUCGAACGCCCCGCCUGGGGAGUGGCUGACGGGUGAGUAACGCGUGGGAACAUACCCUUUCCUGCGGAAUAGCUCCGGGAAACUGGAAUUAAUACCGCAUACGCCCUACGGGGGCAAGAUUUAUCGGGGAAGGAUUGGCCCGCGUUGGAUUAGCUGGUUGGUGGGGUAAAGGCCUACCAAGGCGACGAUCCAUAGCUGGUCUGAGAGGAUGAUCAGCCACAUUGGGACUGAGACACGGCCCAAACUCCUACGGGAGGCAGCAGUGGGGAAUAUUGGACAAUGGGCGCAAGCCUGAUCCAGCCAUGCCGCGUGAGUGAUGAAGGCCUUAGGGUUGUAAAGCUCUUUCACCGAUGAAGAUAAUGCCGGUAGUCGGAGAAGAAGCCCCGGCUAACUUCGU